rnacentral:rRNA from 1 species
GAUGAACGCUGGCGGCGGGCCUAACACAUGCAAGUCGAGCGGAUGGAGGGGGCUUGUGCCUGGUUUCCGCGGCGGACGGGUGGGUGAUGCAUAGGAAUCUGCCUGGCAGUGGGGGAUGACGUCAGGAAGCGAGAGCGGAUACAGCAUACGACCAGAGGGAGAAAGUGGGGGAUCGUUGGACAACACGGUCUCAGAUGAGACUAGGACGGAUUAGCUAGUUGGUGGGGUAAGGGCCUACCAAGGCGACGAUCCGUAGCCGGUCUGAGUGGCUGAUCAGUCACACUGGAACUGAGACACGGUCCAGACUCCUACGGGAGGCAGCAGUGGGGAAUAUUCGGCAAUGGGCGAAAGCCUGAUCCAGCCAGGCCGCGUGUGUGAAGAAGGUCUUCGGAUCGUAAAGCACUUUUAGUUGGGAUGAAGGGCAGUAAGUUAAUACCUUGCUGUUUUGACGUUACCAACUGAAUAAGCACCGGCUAACUUCGUG